rnacentral:lncRNA from 1 species
GUUCCUCCAAGUAUCCUUGGCCAUUGGUCAGGGGUCCCAUUAGAGAAACAUAUCUAUGUGUGUUUAUCAUCGUCAGUAAUGAAUAUGCUGCCAGCAACUGGUGGCCAGCCCCUGAAGGUGUCAUCAUGAACAAAAUGACAGAGGAGGACCCUAGGUGAUACAAACUUUGGCGAUGUGUGUCUGAAUGUGACAAUCCCCCAGAAAGUGGUGUUCUCGAAGUAUGGCAGGCAGAUGGGAGCACGAACCUGCAGCUUUUACCAAUUAUUGGCGGUGUGAAAUUGGGUGAGUUUCAAGCUGCCUUCUCUCGCCUGUGAAUUUGAUGGCAAUGU